AUUGAACGCUGGCGGCAUGCCUUACACGUGCAAGUCGAACGGCAGCACGGGUGCUUGCACCUGGUGGCGAGUGGCGAACGGGUGAGUAAUACAUCGGAACGUACCUUAUCGUGGGGGAUAACGCAGCGAAAGCUGUGCUAAUACCGCAUACGCCCUGAGGGGGAAAGCGGGGGAUCGAAAGACCUCGCGCGAUUAGAGCGGCCGAUGCCUGAUUAGGUAGUUGGUGGGGUAAAGGCUCACCAAGCCAACGAUCUGUAGCUGGUCUGAGAGGACGACCAGCCACACUGGAACUGAGACACGGUCCAGACUCCUACGGGAGGCAGCAGUGGGGAAUUUUGGACAAUGGACGCAAGUCUGAUCCAGCCAUUCCGCGUGCAGGAUGAAGGCCCUCGGGUUGUAAACUGCUUUGUACGGAACGAAAAGGUUUCUAUUAAUACUAGGAGCUCAUGACGGUACCGUAAGAAUAAGCACCGGCUAACUACGUGCCAGCAGCC
rnacentral:rRNA from 1 species